rnacentral:rRNA from 1 species
AUUGAACGCUGGCGGCAUGCUUUACACAUGCAAGUCGAACGGCAGCGGGGAGGAGCUUGCUUCUCUGCCGGCGAGUGGCGAACGGGUGAGUAAUACAUCGGAACGUGUCGAGAAGAGGGGGAUAACCACCCGAAAGGGUGGCUAAUACCGCAUAAAUUCUGAGGAAGAAAGCUGGGGACCUAGGAAUAGGCCUAGCGCUUUUUGAGCGGCCGAUGUCGGAUUAGCUAGUUGGUGAGGUAAAGGCUCACCAAGGCGAAGAUCUGUAGCGGGUCUGAGAGGAUGAUCCGCCACACUGGGACUGAGACACGGCCCAGACUCCUACGGGAGGCAGCAGUGGGGAAUUUUGGACAAUGGGGGCAACCCUGAUCCAGCCAUGCCGCGUGUAUGAAGAAGGCCUUAGGGUUGUAAAGUACUUUUGCUAGGGAAGAAAAGUCAGCUGUGAAUAAUGGCUGAUACUGACGGUACCUAAAGAAUAAGCACCGGCUAACUACGUG